AUGUGGCAAAAUUGUUGGUGGGAAGAAAAGGGUUUGAAGAGGGUAUUUAAGCGAUGGAAUUGUGACGGAUCCCCGUCACCGUCACCGUCACCGUGACAGUGACAAGGGGGUAUUGGAUCUCCUUAUGGAAUAUUCGCUCAGAUGAACCUCCUUAUGAUUGUUUUUUUAUGUGAUUAUUUUAAGGAAUGGUUUGUUUUGACCCAAUCAAAUCGUUUCUAUAUUUACGCUUUAUGGCACAUGACGUUAACAAAUUAGGAGUUUAUCCAAGACACCCUUGUAGAAUUUAUUUAGUACAAACAUAACCAUAAUUUAUAAUUAUCUUUGGAUGAAAAGAUAUAAAUGUACUUUAUUUAUAGUUUAUUAAUUGGACUUCAAUGUUAUAUUGAAAGCAGAGGAAACUCGUAAGUUGUAACCCUCAACAAGCAGGUGAGGCAUUCAUGAGCCGAGGUGACAUCCGCCAAUGAAUAGAGCGCUAAAGCAAGACAAUUGUGAGACACGCAUGGUGAAGAAGUAUGUCCAUAGGUAUUGUGUUUUUUUACUUUUUCUUUGUUUGGGGAGAAUAGAAGAACGGAAAAAAGGGAGUCGUAAUGGUAGCUAGUAGAGUUGGAUAAAAAAGAGGUGUACCUGAUUCAUUUUAAAAUUUUCAUUAUAUAUUUCUUUUUUCUUUUCAUUUCUAUUUUUAUCUUUUAUAACUAAGUUUUAGGUUUAAAUUUUAUUAAUUAUUUUUAAUAAAUGUAAAAGAUGAUUUAAAAGGCAAAUGUUGUAUAUAUUUCAUUUCAAUCACCAGGGCAAAUUACAUAAGGAUAACAGGUAACGAGCAACUAACACUACAUGCUUAUAAGCGUUUUUAGCAUCUGAUUUGAGAUACUCCAAAUAAGUAGAAUUCUAAAUGAGGAGGGUGUCUAAGGAUGGCAGAUAUGUGAAAGGGCUUGAAGUGUAAAUUAAAAAAGGGAUAAGGGUUGUCGUACACAUAGACAUGAUGUGUAGACACGACUGUUCCACACAUAUUGUGAAACAAAUGAGACCACCUAACAACUAGAAAAUUUUCACUUCCACCCCUUCUAUUAUCCCUUAAGCACAUCCUCAUCAAUUUAAAAAAAGAAAUCAUCGCUACUUGAAUACUUAAAUCAGUCUAAAAAAAUUAGAUUACAGGCUGUCCAGUUUUCAUAUAACUAUUAUUCAUGGCCAUAUUGUAGCAUGUGUUUUGGAAUUCUAUUGUGGACAACUAGAAAGGUGUUAUUUGGUGCAUUUGCAAUAGUUGAAGGGUAAAACUAGAAAUAUUGGAAAAUUAUUGACAUAAUGUCAACGGUCAUAGACGGCGAACAAACCGCAAACACGUUAUCCUAAUUUUCUAGACAUAUUAUUUGGACAAUGGGAGGGAACCCAUGUCAUGCUGAUGUGGAUCCACAACGAGAAAUUGGUUGUCAUCUGACAAGUUAAUGACUAAUUGAUCUUUUUUUUUUUUUUGAAAAAUAAUGACUAAUAUAUCUAUCGUGUAAAACGUAGUGUAUAUUUUUAUUAUUCAUUAUUGAAUAAUAUCGUGUAAAACAUAGUGUAUAUUUUUAUUAUUCAUUAAUAAAAAUGAGAAUAUGGACAACGAUAUUGUUGUUGGAAAAUAUCUAUCCACAUAAAUUAAAAAAUUGUCAUCAAAUCUGAUGAAUCUUGUA
rnacentral:lncRNA from 1 species